CCUUUUGAAUUUCUUUCAUUGAUGCAAGAAUUUUUUAUUUUAUUUAUUUAUUUAGUUAUUUUUUGUCAGCCCGGUCUUCGUUCAAUUUGGGAGAAAUAUUAUGAAGAGGCACAUGCUGUGGUAUAUGUAAUUGACGCUUCUUGCCCAUCAUGUUUUGAAGAUUCAAAAUCAGCACUGAAAAAAAUUCUCCGGCAUGAGGAUUUGCAAGGAGCUCCUCUUUUAAUAUUAGCAAACUAGCAGCUCUUUGUUAUGCAAAUAUUGAAAGGCAGCAAGCUACCUCACCAUCUGUUAUCGUCAAAGGUGCUGGUAUGGCAGGCAGUGCAGCUGCUCGUGCUCUUCAUGAUGCCUCAUUUCGGGUGUUCAAAAGAGAAAAUUUGAUUAUGAUGCAUAUCAUUUUUAUACCCCAUGCUUGUUAUUGUGUCUACACUUGACAUGACUAGCUGGUCCAACACUUGUGGGGCAUUUGCAGAUGCUUCUUUCUUGUUGCCAAGGAAAAGUGUAUGAUGCAUUUUUAGUUAAAUUUG